CCACUGAGUGGGGCCAGAGAUUGAACCUGUGUCCUUAUCGAUACUGGUCAGAUUUGUUAACCGCUGAGCCACAACAGGAACUCCUGGUUCUCUAGUUUAGAGGCUGACAGAGGGACCUUGGUUUUUGCCUUGCAGUUUUUUCUCAAUACCAUUAUCUCAAUACCAUUAUCUGUAGUUCUUAAGCCAAGGCCUUAAGCUCCACAUACCUUCUAGGAACACGGGAGAGAGAUUUCAGCAGUUGAAAGACAUUUUAGAGGCAGCCAAUAAGGUCUUCACUCAGUAAAAAUCUGUUUUUGCUCCUCCCUUCCCAUUCAACCUUCAAGAGCCCCUCACCCCUGCCUCUAGACCUCAGGCUAGGGUCUCCCCUUCCAACAGAUAUUCACAUCAGGGUUGGCCUUCAGUUCAAAGGCAGGCUACAGUCUUGCUCUUACACUCUGCCUGUGAAUGAUUUUCUGCUCCAACUUUGUAAAAUACGCUUUCUUUGACCAAUAGUAGGAUCAUCCGUAUGGAGGGUCCCACCAGUCAUGGAGCCAGUUGCUCUUUUCAUCAGCUUCAAACCUGAAUUGGAGAAGCAUGAAGAAAAAAGAUUGGGUCUUUUGGGCAGGACCCAACCUUGCCUCAGGGCAUCAGGCCAGUGCUUCCUUCCGCUCUUAUCCCAGGCAGCAGGCUAACCAAAGCAGUGAAUCCUGUAGUGGGGAACUGUCUGACCAUCUAGCCUACUCUCAUGGACACACUUGAGGGUGGUGUGACUGAUAUCUAGAACCUGGGAGAAAGGAGGUCAGAGCUGAGCGUAGAUGUCUCUAUCCACAAAACCCUCCGCCCUCCAGCCUUCUCCUUUUCUGCUUUGAUUAGAGCUGGUCCAGGCCCAAAGUCCCGGGAGAGAAGGCGACAAGAGUGGAGUCAGAGUCUGGGCAAUGUUCUUAUUCCCAGGGAGUGCUGGCUCUGGUGGGUGCAGCAUCCUCUUCUCUCAAGGAAACUCCAUGUGUGUUAGAGCAACUAUCACCAUGUCGCAACCUAAUUACCUUCUCCUCCCUUCAUGGGACUAGCAGCCCCUUGAAGGCAGAAAAGCUGCUUGGCACAAAGUAGAAAAGGGGAAGCUGGUGGUAUAUGCUGGGGCCGAGGGCAGGGGAGAGGGUACAGUCAGACUGCAGGGUGAGGACAAGAUCCAAUUUACACCAAAAGACUGAGGGCAGUCUGCUCCAGCCCUUGGGCCUGCAGCUUUCCAUCUUGGCUCAGGACUAUUGCAGCCCACGCUAGAUCCGGAGGCUUCAAUACCAGGAGAACGUGGGCGUUCCCCCCAGGUCAUGGGCAUUCUCAGGUACCUUAUAUGUAGGAAGGUUCUACUGUCCAUGUUCUCAGAGCCUAGAAGUGGGGCCUGGGUCAUUCUGUAGAGAAAGGAAAGAAAGUCAGGAAGGCCCUGGGGCUCAACCUCACCUGCCUGCUCUCCCACAGUGCAGUGCAGCCGGUGCUCGUCAGUGGUUAUCCCAUAUUCUGAAGACCUCACAUUCUCAGAGUUCCCACUGUAUAGCACAGGCCUGGCAUAGAUGGACUCAGGGUCUGGCCAUAGCCUGGGUGUCUGCUGGAAUAAUUCCUCCUUGGCCACCUGGAAUUGGGGAAGGUUGCCUAGGGUUGGGGUUAACAUGGGUGCCUAGGGAGAGGAGACAAACCUCUUAACACGUCACCCUUAUGUUCUACCACAGAGGGGAGCCUGGGCCCCAUUGGUGUAGAGAAAGGGGCCGGCAGAGGUGGGUGAAUGCAGCCCAGAGUCCAGGACUUCUGGAGGCAGGGUAGCUCUAACUCCAUCAGGAGCUUCAGGGCCCAUCCGAAGGGCUAGGCAAACCAGGCAGACCGCCCUCCUGGUGGAGGCAGGUUAGGAUGAUGCGGCACCCUGGUGAGCAGCCUCAGAGCCUCUGCAGCUCUAGGGGCAACAGAAAUUCCAAAAGCACCUGUGGAGGAGGGGAUACCUCACCCACAAAAGCAGCAAGUCUCCCCCAGCCUUAGACUUUGCAUGCAGGCCUCAUCUCAGCCCAUGGGACAGGCCCUUAGGCAGGUGGUUGGUGUAGUUGUGUUCCCCGUGUCUGUCUCAAAGCCUUGGACAGGGGCCUGGUUCACCCCAGAAGGGAGGGCUGGGUGGACAUUUGGAGGAGGAGAAGGAUUUGGCCUAACCUCCUUGGUCUCCACCUUUUGUCCUGCACCCACCUGGGGACCAUAUCUGCUGGUCAAUCUUGGAGCUGAAGCCAGAGCCACACAGGACUGGCAUCCCACACGGCCCAAUGGGUUCUGGGAUUCUCUAAUUGGCUGUUGAUUUUGAUUCUGAAACUCCUUUUCUGAUUCAGAGCCCUAAAGUUCAUAGGAGCACAGGAGGGAGGAAUUUAGGGGUUUAUCCCAAACUCCCACCAUCUGUAGAAGAAGGGUAGCACCUGGGAUCAUGAAGAGAGAUGGGCCUGGCACUGGGAGCGUAGGAACUGGACAGAGACCAAGGGUGUGCGCUGACCAACCACAAGAGCAAAGCAUCAGAGGACUUGGCACUUCUGACCUCAGCAUGGGCUCAGUGUCCAUUCUGAAGCACUGGUCAAGCCAGACAGACUCUUCAGGAAUGUGGAAGCAGGCAGAGCACUCAUGGACCCCAGAUGAACAGACAAAAGUUUCUAGUUUUGGCUCCAGUUCCAGCAAAGUCAUGAAUUGAAAGAUAACCUGAGGAGUUCCUGCUUUGGUGCAAUGGGAUUGGUGGUGUCUCUGGAGCACUGGGAUGCAACUUCGAUGCCAUAGCUUUGGUAUAGGUUGCAAUGGCUCUGAUCUGACCUCUGGCCCAGGAAUUCCAUAUGCCACAGGAGUGGCCAGAAAAAAAGAUAACCUGAAAACUGUCCUAUGACAAAAAUCUAGAACUGCUGGUCAAAACAUAGUGUUAAUUUUUUUUAAUGGCAUUUAUUUUUGAAUGUGUAAUAUGAGUCUGUGGUACACAGUCCAAAAAGUACAAAAAGUAAAUGACAAGAAUCUGUCCUUUGGUUAUUCCCAGUCUCUUCCCAGAGGCAACUACAGUUCCUAAUGCGUAUCCUUCCUGAGUUAAUUGGUAAUUUUGCAAGCGCAUAUAUAGACAGUGUUUUAAUAAAAAUUGUUUUAUUUUUUA